CGCAGCAACGCCGCGUGGAGGAAGAAGGCCUUCGGGUCGUAAACUCCUUUUGUUGGGGGACGGAGGAAGGACGGUACCUCACGAAGAAGUCACGGCUAACUACGUGC
rnacentral:rRNA from 1 species